rnacentral:rRNA from 1 species
AGUGAACGCUGGCGGUAGGCCUAACACAUGCGAGUCGAACGGCAGCACAGUAAGAGCUUGCUCUUACGGGUGGCGAGUGGCGGACGGGUGAGGAAUACAUCGGAAUCUACUUUUUCGUGGGGGAUAACGUAGGGAAACUUACGCUAAUACCGCAUAUGACCUACGGGUGAAAGCAGGGGAUCUUCGCACCUUGCGCGAUUGAAUGAGCCGAUGUCGGAUUAGCUAGUUGGCGGGGUAAAGGCCCACCAAGGCGACGAUCCGUAGCUGGUCUGAGAGGAUGAUCAGCCACACUGGAACUGAGACACGGUCCAGACUCCUACGGGAGGCAGCAGUGGGGAAUAUUGGACAAUGGGCGCAAGCCUGAUCCAGCCAUACCGCGUGGGUGAAGAAGGCCUUCGGGUUGUAAAGCCCUUUUGUUGGGAAAGAAAAGCAGCAGGUUAAUACCCCGCUGUUCUGACGGUACCCAAAGAAUAAGCACCGGCUAACUUCGUG